ACCUUUUCAGGGUCGCACCUGGAGAGUUUCCAGUACUCUACCAGUCUCGACAACGGGAGGGAGAGUCGAGCAGAGGCAUACCCAUUCCAUUCCUAAAUUGGGCAGUAGCUACAGACUGGAAGGCAAUCUGCCACAAGU
rfam:Ornithorhynchus anatinus chromosome 2, whole genome shotgun sequence.